rnacentral:rRNA from 1 species
ACGAACGCUGGCGGCGUGCCUAAUACAUGCAAGUCGAACGGCUUUUCUAUGGAAGCUUGCUUCCACUGAGAAGAUAGUGGCGAACGGGUGAGUAACACGUGGGUAACCUGCCCAUAAGAGGGGGAUAACAUCCGGAAACGGGUGCUAAUACCGCAUAGUUUUCUUGAUCGCAUGAUCGGGAAAGGAAAGACGGCCUUUGUGCUGUCGCUUAUGGAUGGACCGCGGCGUAUUAGUUAGUUGGUGAGGUAACGGCUCACCAAGACGAUGAUACGUAGCCGACCUGAGAGGGUGAUCGGCCACAUUGGGACUGAGACACGGCCCAAACUCCUACGGGAGGCAGCAGUAGGGAAUCUUCCGCAAUGGACGAAAGUCUGACGGAGCAACGCCGCGUGAGUGAAAGAAGGUUUUCGGAUCGUAAAACUCUGUUGUCAGAGAAGAACAAGUUGGAGAGUAACUGCUCCAGCCUUGACGGUAUCUGACCAGAAAGCCACGGCUAACUACGUGCCAGCCGCCGC